AUUAAUUCGAUGCAACGCGAAGAACCUUACCAAGGCUUGACAUACACGAGAACACCCUAGAAAUAGGGGACUCUUUGGACACUCGUGAACAGGUGGUGCAUGGUUGUCGUCAGCUCGUGUCGUGAGAUGUUGGGUUAAGUCCCGCAACGAGCGCAACCCUCGUUCUAUGUUGCCAGCACGUAAUGGUGGGAACUCAUGGGAUACUGCCGGGGUCAACUCGGAGGAAGGUGGGGAUGACGUCAAAUCAUCAUGCCCCUUAUGUCUUGGGCUUCACGCAUGCUACAAUGGCCGGUACAAAGGGCUGCAAUACCGUGAGGUGGAGCGAAUCCCAAAAAGCCGGUCCCAGUUCGGAUUGAGGUCUGCAACUCGACCUCAUGAAGUCGGAGUCGCUAGUAAUCGCAGAUCAGCAACGCUGCGGUGAAUACGUUCCCGGGUCUUGUACACACCGCCCGUCAAGUCAUGAAAGUCGGUAACACCUGAAGCCGGUGGCCCAACCCUUGUGGAGGGAGCCGUCGAAGGUG
rnacentral:rRNA from 2 species